rnacentral:rRNA from 1 species
AUACGGAGGGUGCAAGCGUUAAUCGGAAUUACUGGGCGUAAAGGGCGCGUAGGCGGUCUAUCAAGUCAGGUGUGAAAUCCCACGGCUCAACCGUGGAGGUGCAUCUGAAACUGAUAGACUUGAGUAUGGGAGAGGAAAGUGGAAUUCCCGGUGUAGAGGUGAAAUUCGUAGAUAUCGGGAGGAACACCAGUGGCGAAGGCGACUUUCUGGACCAAUACUGACGCUGAGGCGCGAAAGCGUGGGGAGCAAACAGGAUUAGAUACCCUGGUAGUCC